GCUAUGUACUAUGAUAAAUAAACUAUAUACAUUCUAGAAUAACUACAUACUACAUUGGAUUAACUACAUACCAUGCAAAAGUGCCCACAAUCAUUACUCAAAAUCAGCAAACUUUUCACUGAACUAUACGAAAGUACCCAAAAAGGCUUAGGAAUCUUUCUUAUUAUUGAGCAAACUUAUUAAAACAACAAAGCAAUUGAUUGUAUAAACUAUCAUAAGAUUCUUUCCUAACCCUCCAUCACCACCUGUCCAAUCCCAUUGAGCAAUGAACUGUAAGGAUUCAGCAUUCUUUAGACUUACAUAAUUGUGACAUGAUGAUCUGUGGCUUUAACAUCUCAUCCCCCACCAAUCCCAAUCUUCUCCCAAUCUGAAUUUUUUUGUCUCCUUCCCAUUACCCUUAUAUUAUUAUUAUUAUUAUAAAGAAUGCUAAUAAAAGAGUAGUACCCAUCAUGGUCACCUAUGUUGCCAACAAAGGCAGCCUCCUCACCUCUAUCCACGUCUUCCUUCCCCAUCACUGCCAUACCCUAGAGGCGGUGCAAGCAAGGAGACUACCUGGCCCAUUAAAACCCUCGGUGCCUUCUACAAGGCAUGCAAGCCCAAGGUUAAC
rnacentral:lncRNA from 1 species